CGACUCUGGUAGAGAUAUAGAUGUUAAAUGGAGAAGGCAGAGGUGGGAUGUACCCCAGAACAAGAGGGAUAAUGAGAACUGGAGACCAAAACAGGACUUUGACAAAAGAUGGAGAGAUCCACAGAGGGACCAUAGGAAUGUAAUGGGAGAUAAUUGGAGGAAUAGAUGGGAGGGGCCUAAGGUAAUCAAUAAUUGGAAUAAUAAAAAUACCUGGGAGAGGCUAAAAAGGACAGAUAUUAAGUGGGAAAAUCACAAUUGGGGAGAAAAACGGAGAAACAACAGGAACAGUUAUUGGGAGAAUAAUUGGAGAAGGAACCAUAGAUGGGAUGAGCAUCAGACCAAUAGACGGAAUUGGGAUAAUUGGAGGAAUAAAGAAGGGAAUAGAGACUACUGGGACCUAAAGAGACAGACUGAAAGAUUGGAGGCAGAC